rnacentral:lncRNA from 1 species
AGAUCCUGCAUGCCAUGGGGAAGAUUCCAGAGGAUGAAAUCUGGCAGUCAGAACCAGAGUCUGUGGAUGUCCCUGCACAGCCCAUCACCACGACCUUUUUGGAGAGACAUUUGCCCUCCGUGCCAGGCCUGCUCAGGCUGAUUGGAUUGACCACCAUCUUUUCAGCAACGGCUCUUGGCUUCCUGGCCCACAAAAGGGGGCUACUUGUGCGAGUCUAAAGAGAGAGGGUGUCUGUAAUCACACUCUCUUCUUACUGUAUUUGGGAUAUGGGUUUGGGGAAAGAGUUGCAGUAAAGUUCCAUGAAGACAAAUAAUGUGGAGUGAGGCGGGAAGCAUGAAGAUAAAUCCAACUCUGACUGUAAAAUACAUGGCAUCUCUUUUUCCAUUGUGGCCCCUGCUUAGUGUCCCUUACCUGGCUUAGCGUUCUGUUUCACCAGUUUCCAAGUUUAUUGCCCUCAGAAUCUUUAGAAUAGUUAAAUUGGCUUGUUUAAGGUUCUUGCUGCCCCACAACACACCUUGCCCAUGCACAAGCAAUGAAUUUUUUCCUACCACUGCGGGUUUGUGCUUGUUCUUCCUCUUACCUGUAAUAGCCUCACCUUCCCAAGUUCUUUGCAUUCGUCCUUAGAAUACUGUAUUGUUACAGCUGAAAGACAGUAAAGACCAUUUAGUCCUCACCUUCUGUUUUAGAGUUGAGCAAACUGAAGCCCACCGAGGUGGAACUUAAUUACCUAAGAGCCACAAUAAGCCACUGGUAUCUGGGGGACUAGAACACAAAUCCAAUGCUUUUCCCACCUCCUUGGAUGUUUUCCCCAAUUAUCCUCCUUCACUCCCUGUCAUAGUUACUGAUGGUGUCCCGUUGUGUGGGUUUACUCUGUGCUAAGUUGUCUUACACUUCUCAAAUGCUACUCAGUAUAUAGCCUUAAGUCUUACUGUUUUGUGCGGUGUGUCUCCAGCUGAUUUUAACUUUUUUGAUGGUAGAAAUUUUAUCUCUUCUUCCUUUUGUAUCCUCCAUUGUAUCUACAUACAAAGGACAGUACACACUUGGGUAAUUAAAAAUAAAAGUUGAUUGACC